rnacentral:lncRNA from 1 species
UGGCUCUUUUCCAUCCCAACUGCACAGGCAUUCUGCUCAACCUGAACCUGCUUGAUAACCGCCUUUCUCUAGCUGCUCAGUGGUCUGAAAUGAAGACAGAGCCACUUGAUUCUUAAGGUCAUGGGAUCUCUGAUGCUGGUCCUUUCAGCAAAAGCAUGUAUGAGCAUGCUUGAAGGUUACAGAGACAAGCAAAUGGGACCCAAGGAAAACAUUUCCUUGGAAAAAGUAAAUUUAGCACUUGGCUCAAGUGCUACAAAAGGAAUCUACAGGCAGAAUGAUGUUAUUAGAAGACCUCCAGUUUAUAUUGCUCUUUCAUCAGUAAGAGCUUAAGGUGCUCUCUGACAAACUGGUUCUAUGACAUUCUACUAUGACAAGGUCACGUGGGCACCUGCAGCACACCCGCUUUCCAAAUAAAAUAAAAAGUCUUAGGCCACUUCAGGGCUUUACGAAAUCACAGAGACAGCACCACUCCCAGCCUUUGUGAGGUGAUCUCCUGAGCAGAGAAAAAACGCAGCCCACGGUAUUCAUCAUGCACACCUUCCCUGAUCACCGAGAGUUCCAGCCAAAGGUACAAAAGAGCGGCUGCUGUCAUCAAUCAUUCCUGCAUGAAGGACAAGGAGUCCUAAUGGUAGCUGAAAGGCAAUUAGUUGUGGGAAUACACGAGGGAACAACAACAACAACAACAAAUGGGGAUGUUUAGCUCUGUAAAAAACAGAAACUGUAACAGACCUCUCCCCAGGACCUCCACAGACCCCAGGACAGCAGUUGAUCCUCACACCCACAGCUCCAAGGUUCAUGUCUUCAGUCGGUUCCCACCUUACAGGCCUGUUUUGAAGGCUGUGGAGUCUGCAGAAGAUGGAACCUGGAUGGAAGAAGGAUGGGGGCUGCUGGCCCUCUUUUCUAACUUCUGAGGUCUCUUCUUCUGUCCAAGCUACACAAAGGCUCUGAACCACACAUUUCUACUGCCACUACCCGACUCACUCGGGAAGUUGGAGAGCUGCUUCAGACCUCUGCUGACGUCUCUUCCUCCGCACGCCAACCGACACACCUCACUUCUUCCUUCUGGCUCUCCUGUUUUCUAAAAAGACAGCGUUAAGGCCAAGAAUCAUCUGGCCUUACAGUUCAAGCCCAACACAGAUACAAGCGACACAAUUUACCAGGCCUCACAAAUUACAGUUUUUAACCCCUUUCAUCCCUGCAUUGGCACGCAGUUUGCUAACUUUAAUAGUCCCUCACAAAGCAGCGAGUGUCAUUAUUACCUGUAUUAAGGUUUAAGAAACCGAGUCACCCACAGGCCACAGACUGAGUCAGAGUGAGAGGGAGUCUGAGCUCCUGACUACCAAAUGCCUUGCCCUCAUACGACUGCAGGAGCAUUUCUUAUUUGAAGCUGGCGAUUCCAGUGCUUUCUCUAUCGUCUUGUCUUUAUUCUAUAGCUAGCAAGGCUGUUGUAACCAAACAGAGGAAGAAGAUGGAAAAGGAGUGGUUUGAAUAUCCUCACAUAUUGGAAAACAUCUGAGACGCUAAGAUACCAAGAAUUCCAGCCCUGGGCACUCAGCAAGGACUGGAGCUUGGGCAGGAAUUCCUCUCUGGUGAUUUUCUACAGUAAAAAAAAACUUGCACAAGGGCCAGAGCUGGAUCUCAAUGGUAGAAUGUUUGCCUAACAUCCACGAAGUCCUAGUUCAAGUCCAAGAACUACCCAGCUUCAAAACUGUACAACUUUACACAAAAGCAAAAGCAUCUUAACGCAGGAUGAGGAGGGAGAGAUGGGUUUGAAGGAAAUGAUGCCUUAACUGAUAUUAAUUAGGGAUUCACACAUCCAAGUGGACAUGAACAUCUGAAGCAAGCUUCCAGGCAAAGGGAACGGCAUGAUCAAAAUUGAACCGGCAAGGAAGGACACAUCAUAUGCAGAGAAAGACAAAUUGUUUGGUACCAUUCAAGCAUGAAUCAGGGAGUGGUAGACAAAGGAGUGUUGGACAGAGGCAGGCAAUGUAGAGAAGAUCUCCCGUGCAUAUCCACAUCCAGUGCUCACUCCACUCAGCUAAAAGCUGCCCACACUAUUGGAUUCUAUAUGGAUACAUCUCCCCCCCCCCAACCCCCGUCCCCCUUCUGUUCUAGUCUGGAGCUUCAGUUGCCAUUAACCAAAUCACCUCAGUGUUCCCUCCUUGUUGAAAUGAACUGUAAGCAUACCAAACUGUGAGCCAAAUUAACCCUUGCUCUCCUUCCUUGCUUCUGUCAGAUAUUUGUCACAGUACCAUUCAUGUUCUGUUGUAACUUUGAGGACCAAUGACCUAACGUCCUUCCUGGUUUCAAGUCUUCAUGGAGGCUCUGUGUCAAGGGGCAGUGGUGAGGUGGGAGUGUGUAUCUUACUUAUUUGUCAACUACUGUUAUGGUUUGGAUCUUAAAUGUCAUUCAAAGGCCACAUUACAGGCCGGGUCCCAGUCUAUAGUGCUAUCUAGAGGCAAAGGCACUUUUAGGAGGUGGGGCCUAAUGGAAGGAAUUGGGAGGUGUUUCCUUGAGGGGAUAUGGGGACUCCAGCCUUUUACUCUCUUUGAUUCCUAGAUGUGUGAAGUGAGUGGCUUUAUGCCCUGACCACUCCCACAGGGAUGCUCCUACUUGGCACAGCCCCAAAACAACUGACCAUCUGACUGUACAUAGAAACCUCUGACCCAGAAUAAAGCUUUCUUCCCUUUAUAUUCUCUUUCUCAAACAUUUUGAUACAGUGAUGAAAAACUAAAGCAAGAAAUUAA